rnacentral:rRNA from 1 species
UACGUAGGGUGCGAGCGUUGUCCGGAAUUACUGGGCGUAAAGAGCUCGUAGGCGGUCUGUCGCGUCUGCUGUGAAAUCCCGGGGCUCAACUCCGGGCUUGCAGUGGAUACGGGCAGACUAGAGUUCGGUAGGGGAGACUGGAAUUCCUGGUGUAGCGGUGAAAUGCGCAGAUAUCAGGAGGAACACCGGUGGCGAAGGCGGGUCUCUGGGCCGAUACUGACGCUGAGGAGCGAAAGCGUGGGGAGCGAACAGG